rnacentral:rRNA from 1 species
UCAGAACGAACGCUGGCGGCGCGUUUAAGCAUGCAAGUCGAGCGGCAAGGGCCUUCGGGCCCCUGGAGCGGCGGACGGGUGAGUAACACGUGGACAAUCUGCCCCCCGGCCCGGGAUAGCCCAGGGAAACCUGGAUUAAUACCGGAUGAGACGGGACCCGCGAUGGCGGGAUCCGGGAAAGGCGCUGCGGCGCCGCCGGGGGAUGAGUCUGCGUCCCAUUAGCUAGACGGCGGGGUAACGGCCCACCGUGGCGACGAUGGGUAGCCGGCCUGAGAGGGUGGACGGCCACAUUGGAACUGAGACACGGUCCAGACUCCUACGGGAGGCAGCAGCUAAGAAUCUUCCGCAAUGGGCGAAAGCCUGACGGAGCCGACGCCGCGUGAACGAAGAAGGCCGUGAGGUUGUAAAGUUCUUUUCGGGAGGGGGAACAACCGUGGCAGGGAAUGGCCGCGGGAUGACGUGAAUCCCGGAAUAAGCCCCGGCUAACUACGUGCCAGCCGCCGC